AGAGUUUGAUCAUGGCUCAGGAUGAACGCUAGCGACAGGCCUAACACAUGCAAGUCGAGGGGUAACAGGGGCUUCGGCCCGCUGACGACCGGCGCACGGGUGAGUAACGCGUAUGCAACCUGCCUGUAACAGCGGGAUAGCUCCCUGAAAGGGAAAUUAACACCGCAUAAGACCACGCUCUCGCAUGGGGACGGGGUAAAAUAUUUAUAGGUUACAGAUGGGCAUGCGUGACAUUAGUUAGUUGGUGAGGUAACGGCUCACCAAGACUGCGAUGUCUAGGGGUUCUGAGAGGAAGGUCCCCCACACUGGAACUGAGACACGGUCCAGACUCCUACGGGAGGCAGCAGUGAGGAAUAUUGGUCAAUGGACGCAAGUCUGAACCAGCCAUGUCGCGUGCAGGAUGACUGCCCUAUGGGUUGUAAACUGCUUUUAUAUUGGAAGAAUUGCGCUUACGAGUUAAGCGUUUGACGGUACAUUAUGAAUAAGGAUCGGCUAACUCCGUGCCAGCAGCCGCGGUAAUACGGAGGAUCCGAGCGUUAUCCGGAUUUAUUGGGUUUAAAGGGUGCGUAGGCGGAAAUGUAAGUCAGUGGUGAAAUCCUGCAGCUUAACUGUAGAAUAGCCGUUGAAACUGUGUUUCUUGAGUACAUUUGAGGUAGGCGGAAUGUGGUGUGUAGCGGUGAAAUGCAUAGAUAUACCACAGAACACCGAUUGCGAAGGCAGCUUACUAAACUGUCACUGACGCUGAUGCACGAAAGCGUGGGUAUCAAACAGGAUUAGAUACCCUGGUAGUCCACGCUGUAAACGAUGAUUACUGGUUGUUUGCGAUACACUGCAAGUGACUGAGCGAAAGCAUUAAGUAAUCCACCUGGGGAGUACGUCGGCACGAUGAAACUCAAAGGAAUUGACGG
rnacentral:rRNA from 1 species